rnacentral:rRNA from 1 species
UUCGCAAUGCCCGAAAGGGUGACGAAGCGACGCCGCGUGGGUGAAGAAGGCCUUCGGGUUGUAAAGCCCUGUCAGGAGUUAUGAAAUGUAGGUGCGAUAAUACCGUGCCUAUUUGACAAAGGCUCCAAAGGAAGCCACGGCUAACUCUGUGCCAGCAGCCGCGGUAAUACAGAGGUGGCAAGCGUUGUUCGGAAUUAUUGGGCGUAAAGAGCACGUAGGUGGGUUUGUAAGUCAGAUGUGAAAGCCUUCUGUUCAACGGAAGAAUUGCAUCUGAAACUGCUAGUCUUGAGUGUAGGAGGGGAGAAUGGAACUUCUGGUGGAGCGGUGAAAUGCGUAGAUAUCAGAAGGAACGCCGGCGGCGAAAGCGAUUCUCUGGCCUAUUACUGACACUGAGUGUGCGAAAGCUAGGGGAGCAAACGGGAUUAGAUACCCCGGUAGUCCUAGCCGUAAACGAUGGGCACUUAGUAGAGGGGUUUU